rnacentral:rRNA from 1 species
GGGGACAUUGGUGACAGGUGGUGCAUGGUUGUCGUCAGCUCGUGUCGUGAGAUGUUGGGUUAAGUCCCGCAACGAGCGCAACCCUUGUCUUUAGUUGCCAUCAUUAAGUUGGGCACUCUAGAGAGACUGCCAGGGAUAACCUGGAGGAAGGUGGGGAUGACGUCAAAUCAUCAUGCCCCUUAUGCUUAGGGCUACACACGUGCUACAAUGGGUAGUACAGAGGGUUGCCAAGCCGUAAGGUGGAGCUAAUCCCUUAAAGCUACUCUCAGUUCGGAUUGUAGGCUGAAACUCGCCUACAUGAAGCUGGAGUUACUAGUAAUCGCAGAUCAGAAUGCUGCGGUGAAUGCGUUCCCGGGUCUUGUACAC